UGAAGGCUGAAAUUCGCCUUCAUGAAGCUGGAAUUGCUAGUAAUGGCAGGUCAGCAUACUGCCGUGAAUACGUUCCCGGGCCUUGUACACACCGCCCGUCACACCAUGAGAGUUGAGAAUACCCGAAGUCCAUGUCAAAGUGGCCGAAGGUAGGCUUGAUGAUUGGGGUGAAGUCGUAACAAGGUACC
rnacentral:rRNA from 1 species